rnacentral:rRNA from 1 species
CAAAGGAAGCGAUUCCGGCGGGGGAUGGGCAUGCGGCGCAUUAGCUAGUCGGCGGGGUAACGGCCCACCGAGGCGACGAUGCGUAGGGGUUCUGAGAGGAAGGUCCCCCACACUGGUACUGAGACACGGACCAGACUCCUACGGGAGGCAGCAGUGAGGAAUAUUGGUCAAUGGGCGUAAGCCUGAACCAGCCAAGUCGCGUGAGGGAAGACGGUCCUACGGAUUGUAAACCUCUUUUGCCGGGGAGCAACGGGGUCCUUGCGAGGGCCCUAUGAGAGUACCCGGAGAAAAAGCAUCGGCUAACUCCGUGCCAGCAGCCGCGGUAAUACGGAGGAUGCGAGCGUUAUCCGGAUUUAUUGGGUUUAAAGGGUGCGUAGGCGGGCUGUUAAGUCAGCGGUCAAAUGUCGGGGCUCAACCCCGGCCUGCCGUUGAAACUGGCGGCCUCGAGUGGGCGAGAAGUAUGCGGAAUGCGUGGUGUAGCGGUGAAAUGCAUAGAUAUCACGCAGAACUCCGAUUGCGAAGGCAGCAUACCGGCGCCCUACUGACGCUGAGGCACGAAAGCGUGGGUAUCGAACAGGAUUAGAUACCCUGGUAGUCCACGCAGUAAACGAUGAAUGCUAGCUGUCCGGGACUUCGGUUCUGG